UUGGUAGAAAAGCGGCAGGGCGGUAGAAUGGGUCAUUCUGGUGUGUUUCGUGUUUCUGCAGUUACAGGUUCCCCAACAUGGCUUAUUGGCGAUGUUGGUAAUAAAGGAAAAUAACGUCAAACGGGCAACAAAUUCCCAAAAUGUACAUCAGUAUAAAAUAAAAUUUAUGUACAUCUA